GACAAAUGGCUAGGCAGUCGCAUGUCUGCGGUCUGUGGCCCCUCACGUUUGGAUACCCAUGUAGAAUCAUUCCAAACACCCACAUCGUGAAGGUCACUAAGUGCAGAAUUAGCACAGACAUCAGCUUCAGGAUGAUGGCUGCCAAGUCCUGGGUGCACCUGGCUGAAACUGAAACAUAAUCAUCCUGGGCUAUUGGCAGAAAGGACAAGGAAUGUCCACCACUGGAUGAAGUUGUCUCCCUUUUCCCACUGCUGACUGUAAAAGCAAGGCUGAGUUUCCCUGGACCUGUAACUAUAACUUUCCAUCUGGAAAAAAGCCCUCUGAUGGGAACCGGAGCAUUUACACUUCUCUGAACGGAGCUUGAACUAAGACUUGCUGACUGUAGGAGUCACUACACGCUGUGCUCGUGAAUUCGCCAACACUCGCAUUACAUCUUGUUUGAUCUCUACUCAAAUUUCCUUAUACACUGUCUGAAGAAGUUACCCUCAAGCUUGGUCCAAACUUAGCAGCUGCAGUGGCUGGCUCCCAGUGCUUCGAUCCAGCAGGCUGCAGUUGUCUGUACAUGACUGCAGCCAGACUGCAGCAACCCGUAAAGGCAAUAGCCACAGCAGGAAAUGCUUUCUCCUAUCCAUCCUGCCAAAGGAGUUGGAUAGGGCAACAAGCUGAGAUGGGAAUGUUUUUUACAGCUCCUUCUCCUGUCCCCUUGCCUCACCCCUCCAGCUGUAUUCUGUGGAAAAUAUGUCCAUCUUUCCCAAGAGCACCCAGGGCAUUGAGACAAGCAGUCACUGAGAAACAUGGCAGCAGGAUGAUGUCGCCAAGCCAUGAACAGGCAGGGUGGGUCUCCCUCCUGCUUCACAUGUUCUCAGGGCCAAGAGUUCACUUUGUCUUUGAGGUGAUCUUGAGAAGGAGGAGAUAAUUGCUGAGGAAGAAGCAACUUGGACUGAUGGAAGAAUCUUGAGACAAUAAUUUUCAUAAACAUUUGUCUAGCUCCACAUUACUUUAGACAUUUUCAGAAAGUAUUUUUAAUGUAUUGAGUAUUUUUGUCUCGUAUUCCUUCAAUCAUGCUCAAAAUUAUGAACUUCAAAGACUUCCAUGGUUUAGAAACCCAUGGGAAGAGAUUGUACUUGAUCAAGGUUUGUUUUAAAUAUAAUGAUGACUUUUAAAUCUUUGUGCAGGCAUGAUGUUGUGGGGAAGAAAGAAAUUAGAAAGCUGCAGUUUUGUAUACUGUGUAUCUCUGAGCAUCAAGAGCUGUCAGAAUAUUUCAAAAUGAAAUGGAAUGGGAUUCACAUAACAAUGAACAGUCCCUGUUUGAAUCAAUAUUAAGAGGUUACCCAACCCCUCAUAACUGUUGAUUCCACCUUGAUGACAUCCUUGAUUACUGUCACACUGCAAAGCCUGCCUAUAUCCUACAUACUUUUGAUUGUAGUGAUAUUAUGAGCACCAUAUGAAUUUGCACUAGGCAGGGAGUAAGAGAUUAUUGCUGCCAGAAACUGAUCUCAGGCACUGAAGGAAAACAAACCAUUAUUUUCCCCUUCAAGCAGUACUUCUUCCUUUUGCCUUCAUGUGCUUUGUAACUGUUUUUAUUCAUUGUGUAAAUACAAGUGUAAGAAGUGCUACAUAAAGUAUAUUACACUUGCUAAACCUUAAUCCAUGCUAAAACAUCCUUGAGGCACUGCCUCAUGGACUGAAAGAUACUUCUCCAACAACUCUCAUUAUUCAUGGAUCAUUGAUAUGAUAGACCCUAAUAGCUUCCUCAAAGCCAUUACAAUGUGCUAUAUAUAAAUGCAAGCCCUUAAUCCAUGGAUCAUUGGCAUGAUAUAAUGCAACACUCAUUUAAAACCCUUGCAGUCUGUCAAGUGAAUGCAUACUAUUAGAGAUCUUUAAUUUGUGGAUUAUUGCCACAAUUGAUCAUUACACUUCCUCUGGGGCUGCUAUGGUCUAUUCCAUUAACAUAUGAACAUGAAACCUAAUCGGUAGAUUAUUGAUAAAAGUAGUUUCAUCUGUUUUGUCAAAAGCACAUAUAGAGUUGAAGGCUCACUCAUUUAUAAGCUCUCCUAGACUCUUUACUCCUUAGUUCAAUAACUUACUUUUCCAUUUCUUUCUUUUUGCUAUUUGCUUAUGCAAACAAACAAAUUCAUGUGUUCAAAAGGGUUUUUGUGUACAUCUGAGAUAAAUGGGACUUUAGCUUUCACUUUUAUUAUUUGUGAGAUCUGGCAAAAAAUGACACAGGCAAAAAUAUGUGCUCUGGCUUGAAAGUGUGGUCCUGAGACUCCUGUAUUCUAUAAACACUGAUACUACUAUAUUUUGUGUGGCAGAGAUGGUAAAAGCAUUUCUGAAGAAACCAUAUCACACUUCUAUGCAUACCAGUACUGAACACUUUUAAACAGACUGUCUCAUACAAUUCCCCUAUUAAAAUUCCUAAAGUUAUCAACCCAGACCCUAUGGAUUUGUAGUCUUGAGAUUAACCUUUUAAUGUUUACCUAUUAGGAAAGUUCUUAUUGUUGUCCAGUGCCAUACAGCUAUUUCUGGUUUGCAAGCAAUAAAAUGGCUAAAUCUCACCUCAUAAAACUCCAUAGCUUACAUUCUUGCCUAUUCCUGGUAGUAUUGCAAUGAUAGGCAGCUAAGGUGGGAAACUGAUGGACUAAAGAAGGGCUCAGAGUACCACACCUCCCAGGUUGCUAGGUAGAAAAGGGAUUGAAUCCAAGUCUCUUAUGUUGCUUGAAUUCCCAGUUGGGACACAGCUGCAGUGACCUAGCUGCUUACCUUCCCUGAAAGCUUGCCUUUCAGUUUCAGCAAAACAACAAUUUUCAACAAGAGAAAAAAAAUGUCUGCAUAAGACUUGGAAAAUUUCUAAUUACCUGUUCUGCCUCUCACUCAGUUCCCUCUUACCAUGGUUUGGAUAGACCCCUGGAUGGGUCCAAGUCAUGUCAAUGAGGCAUAUGUCUAGUACGGCUGCAGUGACUGCAGAAUCUCAGGUCUCAUUAAAAGAUUUUCUUUUUUAGCCUUGGUGGUUGCUAAGAAAAACUUGGAAUGUGAACUGAAUACAGCAGCUUUACUUACAGCUGCUUGGAGACACAAAAGAGGAGCAGCAGAUGGUGAAGCAGCAGUGAUUGCUAGUGCAAAAAGCCAGCAAGAAAGCCACUUGCUCCCACAUCUGCAGAAACAGGCAUAGUUCUCAUUUUCUGGGGGCUGAUGUGAAAGGCUGGUUCAGAGGAAAAAUCUGCCCAAGGAAUGGACUUGGGAAGAGAGCAGAGAUGGUUAUGGCAAUAACAACAGUGAAUAGGAUCUCCUGAUCCUAUUUAGAGAGAGAAGGUUUACUCACCCUUCUCUGCCUCAUCACUUGUCUAAGAGACUCAGAUAUUUUCUGCUAUCAGCCAGGGUAUUCUGUUUCCUAUCUUAAAAGUUCUUAUCUAGUCUAAAACUGCUGAUCUUGUUUUUUUUAAGAGAUAACUUCCAUUGUAGCUAAGAUUUCUGAUUUUGUAAAGCCUGCAUCCUUUCACAAUGAAGGAUUGCCACAUAAACUCUGUAGCAGCAUAGUGUAAGAUAUGUGAAUUCCUUUAGCCCUUUUUUUCUAGCCUUCUAUGAGCAAAAGAUAGCAAAAUCAAUUUAAAGCAGAUAGACACGAUAAAUAAAAGGUGGGGAGAGAGAAACAUCUCAGCUGAAGCACAUGUGGGUUUUCAGCUAAGAGCAUGUAUUUUUAGAAAUCGUUACAGCUUCUCAGUGGAACAGCAGUAGAUAGUUUUGGCUCCAGACCUGACUGAUGUUAAAAUGAUCACAAUCUGAUGGAGAUAACCUCAGCAAGUUAUUUUAUUUACCUUCCCUCUGUACUAUUAGAAGAGCAAAUCUUAAAACUCCAUUGAUUUUAGGGUACGUAAACAAAUUAUUUUAAAUAAUGUGCUACUAUUUGCCUUACAGCAGUGCUCAGAGUAACUCCACAAAAUUACUUUCCAGGGUGCAGUUCUUCAUUAGAAUUAGUCUGAAGGCAAAUCUGUAGUGAGAGGCUCCCACUGCAGGCUUUUGCCUCACUGCAGGUUCCUGCCCUCUUGGAUGUAUUUCGUCAGGAGUUUGUGUGUCUGUGCUCUAGAGCAGAGCAGUGAAAUGACCUUCAGUGUGCAGAGCACUUUUUUUUGAACCCUGCUGUUUUCACUGGUCGCAUUUCUAAAACAGGCCAUGUGGUGCUAGAUUGCUGGAUAGGAAGGUACUAUGUAUUGGAAGGUGAACCUGCCUGUGCAAGGAUGGGACAAAGGCCUCUGAAAUGCUUUUCACAGAACCAUAGAAUUGUCAAAUAACUUGUUGGAAGGGACCUUAAAUACAAUUUAGUUCUAGACCCUCUGCCAUGGGCAGGGACAUCUUCCAAUGACCUCAACCAACCUGACCUUGAAAUCUUCCAUGGAUGGGAUUUUCACAAUUUCUUUGGGCAACUUUUUCAAGUCUCUCACUACAUUCAUAGUGAAGAAUUUCUUCCUUAUAGCUAAUCCAAAUACACCCUCUUUCAGCUUGAAGCUAUUUCUCCUUGUCCUAUUACUACAACUUGCUGAGGAUACACUCCAGCUUACAGUCCAUGGUGCUGACAAAGAUUUUAAAUAGUACAGUCCCAAUACUGACCCCUGAUGAAUGCCACUCAUCACUGUUCUCCCCUGGUUUUGUAGAGAGACAGGUCAUAAUGUUGGAUAUUAUACGGGGAUUGUACUCACAUUAGUGGGACAAGAAUAAAGCAUUGGAGGUGUACUGUUCUGUAUAUUCUUGCAGAUAUAUUUUGAGUUGUGUGUAUG